UCUGUCUAUGUGUGUAGUGGUGGGG
rnacentral:piRNA from 1 species